CCCCCUUUCGCCUUUGAAACCCUUGCAGUCCAUCUACCGCCACUGCCGAUGCCCCUGACUUCGGUUGGGUGCAUUAGGCAACGAUUCUCCAUUAACCUCCUAAUCGCUCUCCCUCUAUGUCCCUUCCAUUUCUCUGUGCUCCUGCCCUUUACUCACAAAGAUCGAAGGUGGGUUUGAAGUUGGGGUUCUCACCCCAAUGGUCUCCCACCAAAGGAUCUUUUCUAACUGAUAGUUUUCGGCUACCGAUACUCUUCAAACACCACUCCGCUACCAAUACUCCAUUGCUAUUCCACUGAUCUUCUGUCGUUUCUCCAUUGUGCUCCUCUCGCCCCCAUCUUCGCUCCACCGCGCUUCCAGAUCUGUGCCUACCUCGAACAAGACCCCCUGUCACAGAUGGGUCAAAUCGGUGGCUUUUCCUCCCAGAGUAGUCCUGAUCCGUGCUGACACUUGGAAUGGUUACCUAUUUCCUGCUCUAAGAAAAAACUCCUUGGCUGCUCGGGCGUCCUACGUCGACGACUUACCAACCUUGCCCAAUGCCACUUCAGUGUUUGUCUCAUUGUUCCUUAUGGUGAUUGCAUCAAGGACCUAUCGGUCGGGUUAGUUCUCGAUUGGUUAGUAUUGAAUUGUUAUUUCAAGGAUUUUGUAAUAUCAGAUGUGUGGCUGUUUUUUGUUUUUGUUUAAUAAGGGAUGUUUAUUCAAUCAUUCGCGUUGGUGUGUUUA